rnacentral:lncRNA from 1 species
CGUCCCACUCAAAAAUAUCAAAUGCAUGUCUUCUGGCUAACACCAAUAUAUUAAACUAACGUCUUCUUGCUAACAUCAGUGAUUAAACUUUGACAAGCUUUUCCCAUUCAAAAUAUUUAAUGCCUAUGAUCGUGGAGUCCUGUCGCUUCUUGCUAACAUCAAUGAUUAAACUUUGACAAGCUUUUCCCAUUCAAAAUAUGUAAUGCCUAUGAUGUGGAGUCCUAUCACUUCUUGUACUUGUUUGGGCACUUCUUGCCCAGGGCACUCCAUGUGUUAUUAAAUUGCCAAUGGUCUCUGCAGACUAGUCAUGUCACCGGUGUCUAAUAUUUAUGGCACCGGUUGUAGCAAUGGAGGGAUUCGGUGCCAAACUAAGAAAAGGUGAAAUUGGCACCUCUUUUGGCCUACAUAGUGGAAGGCCUAAUACUCUGUAAAGUUUCUCAGUCAUUCCUUCUGUAAUGUAGCGCAAACAAUGACUGCUUUUUUCUGCAAAGUGGAAUGACCAACUGGACCCAGUAAUGCAGCAGCUUCCCUUGGACACAUUGUCUCCUUUUAUGCAGUUGAACUAAAAUCGAAGUCGGAAUAAAACCGAGCUUUAAUUUUGAUAUCCCUGUAAGCAAAAAAAGGUAUAAGGGAAACAAUUACUGAGAAAUAACGGUUGAUGACUUGUAAUCCCAGAAGAAAAACAUCUAUUGAUCUACCUUAUCUUAAUGGGAAACAAAGCAGGAGAGUAGCAAUUCUCAAUCAGUGUGAUUCAUUCAUAUUAACUAAGACAUUAUCUUAACAGUGCCUUGUUUCAAGAUGUAUAAAGAACGAAAAAGCAGAAAAGUAUCAUUCCUAAAACAAAGCGACUUAUUCAUUUUAACAGAGACAUUAUCUUAACAAUACCUUGGUUAAACAUGUAGAAAGAACUACAAAGCAGGAUAGUAUCAAUUGUAAAACACUUUAAGUCUGUAACUGACAUAUAAUAACAGAGACAUUAUCUGAACAAUACAUUUCUUAAACAUGUACUCCGGCCGAUCCCUAACAGAAAUGGUACUCCUGCCGAUCCCUAACAAGUGUUUGCAGUUUUGAACUAAGAUUCAGUUCCGGGGUAGAGUGGGCACAACAACAGUAUGUGCUUCCAUCUACUUAUAAAGGGGGUGAUGCAGUGUUUGUUGUAACAAAGCAACAAGCAUCAUGUCUGGGUUGGUUCCAUUUUUGUUCACUACUUAAUGGGAAAAGACAGCAAUACAAUAGCUUCAAUUCAACAUUUAUUUAAAACAGUACCAAUACAAGUAGCACAACAUAUCAAAGCACACUGCACAAUCAUGUGGAUGAAGGCCUGUACUGACCUUUCAUGAGACCGACAACGAUAAAAUACGAAUCUGCCAACACGAAUAGGAAAUCCAAUCUUGUUUUGUGCAGUUGCACUGAAAUCAAGCAAAGUGUUUCGCGUAGCGAAGCAAAAUGUUGCAAUAGAAAAAAGUUGAAUAGAUAUCCCUGUAUAAACACAGGCAAAAAGGAAUCAAUUACUGGCUAAUAAAGGAGGAUGAAACAUGCGGUCACAAAAAUGGUAAUCCAGCAAAUCCCUAACAAGUGUUGCAGUUUUGAAAUAAGAUUCGGUAGUUAAUUCUGAGAGUGGCAUCAAUUACUGGCUUAUAAAGGGGGUGAUGCUGAAUUUGUUGUAACAAAGCAACAAGCAUCAUGUCUGGAUUGAUCCCAUUUUUGUUCACUACUUAAUGAGAAAAGAUAGCAAUACAAUAGCUUCAAUUCAUCAUUUAUUUAAAACAGUACCAAUACAAGUAGCAUAGCAUCUCAAAACACACUGCACGAUCAUAUGGAUGAAGGCAAGUACCAACCUGUCAUGACGCACACAAGAUCACGUACGAAUCUGCCA